AGAAAUCAGUAGGUAUAAAUGGAGAAAAAGGCUGUGUCAGCCUUCAUGGAAAUAACACAUUUUCUUCCUAAUCUCCUGAUGCAUAGAACAAGUAGUUACUGCCUGGGAAAUAAAUAGAAGCUGGAAAACAAGAGAGCCUGCUGGCUAUCAUCUGCACAAUAAGAACAAAGUGGUUCUACCAGGAGCUGCUGCAGAUUAAUGAGUAAUUGGCCCAGGUGCAAAUCUCCCUUCACCAUCACCUGUGUGAUUAAAGAAGCCUUCCCCACCCCUUCCUUCACUCAUGGGCUUUUUGUCUUGUGAUUUCAGACUCCUAGAUCUAGUCAAAAUACAUCCGUUCAAGGAAAAUAAAAGAAAGAGAAUGAGCAGAGAAAUACCUGUUCUUUAAAAAUCAGCUUCAAGCUGAAAGACUGCACAGCCACUUGAUUAUGAUACUCCAGAGCUGCCCUGUAAUCCUGGAAUCCUACUGAAUUCACACCCUGGCAAGAUAGCAAUGUCAAAGGGAUGCAACUGGUAAUUCUGCCUGGCUGCCAAACUGCCUCAUGUCACCCUGCUUUCAAUGGCUGCUGACAAGACCAGCCUGUGAUUUGUGAGUUUGGAUGAUUUUCCCUCUUUCCUUGCUCAAAGGAAACCUGUUUGUGUUUGGACAUCUGGGGAAGAUGACACAACGCCAGCAAGAUCUCCUGUUGGGCAGUGCUGCUACCAGGGAGAAAGUGUGGGAUGGGGGUGGCAGAGAGGAUCAGCAGGAUGCAGCUCUUAGGGACAGUUUGGCAUCUUACUACCCCUGGACACCACCUCAGUGGGGUCAGGAGAUCCCUGUGGAUGGGCAGGUGCAUGCCACAGCAAUUGCAUCCAUCCCAUCCCUGAAGCCAGGUUCCUGUGACUGUAGCCUCACAUUUAAUUUCCAAAGAACUAUAGAGGACUUUUUAGUGUAAAUUCUGUCUUGCUGAUGGGUUUGUUGAGUCAGUGCCCCACUCAGCCUCAACCUGAAACACAGCUUGGGACUAUGAGCCUUCAGCUUGAGUUUGUUCUGUCACUGGAGUCAUCGUUUACUUCAGCCUAAUUUUUCUAAAUUCAUAUCCAUCCUCUCAACACAGACAGACCUCAGAGAGAUUUUCAUGCAUUUACAUGAAAAAGCCAAAGUUCCCUUUCCUUGUUCACAUUAUGCAGCAUUGCCCUUCUCUGUACCUUGUCCUAUUUCAGAGCUGUCAUGCAAAUAAAACCAACUUAAAAAAAAAAAAUCGUUAAAAAGUGUGCAUCCUGUCAACCUUGUUUCUCCUUCUCGUGCUGUAUGUGCAGGAAGAAAUCCCUUCUCCUUCCUGCCUUCCUAUUUCAGAUGUUUACACUUCUUUCCUAACUGUGAUACAGUAUGUUUAGGGUUCCCCAGUUGCCCAGGAAACCAAUCCUGACUCCCUUUUUCCAGACAUGUAGUAUUCACUAUUCCAUGAAGCUACUGUUUCCUGAAGUGUUUUAUUUUGGGUUUUUUCCCUCAACUACUCCAGAAGUGGGAAUUCUCCUUUUCAGUCCCUGUACUGGGGCAUCCCCUUUCCUUUAUCUACCUGAGUCUGUCUGGAUGAAGCAGUCAUUGCAUUUUCUACCUCCAUCACUGCAGUUUCUGACUGAAUUUAGCAGUAUUUAUUUUGACUAUGUGAGUGUACUGAACAGUCAUCCUUCUGCAAGGCAUUCUGCAUGGAUUCCCAUGGGAUUGCCACGCUGGCCACGGAACAGAGAUCUUCUUUGGCAGACACUAAAGAUGGAGAAGGCAGACCUGGCUCUGGGGUUGGUGGUGGGUAGUCACUGGAGGCAGGGGGUGUCAGGAGGAAGGAUCAUUUGUCUUUCCUCUUGGCUCAAGUGCAUGGCACUUGUUAUUGCUCUCCUGGGCAACAACCAUAAAGCCAACUCAGACACUCUCCCAGAAGGAGAAAACCACCCGAAAAUUGAACCAAAACAAUCAACCCUAAAAAUUAUCCCAAGAUAUAUGAUGGGGGAGAGAUUUGAAGAGUAAAAGGUGGGGUGUCCCUGAGGAACAAGGAGUUUGUUCUUGCUGCAGCUGAAACUCUUUGCCAGGGAAUGUGGAUGUUGGUGUGGCUGUGGUGGGGAGUUUGCACAAAUCACAAGGGGAGUGAGCAAGAGACACUGGAGCAGGUAUGGAAGAAUAACUCAAGGAUUUUGCCUGUAAUCCUCUCAUGUCUGAUAUACAGAGACCCCUGAUGACCAAGAGACUGUCUUUUCCAAAAUGAAAUACGCCCUGGAGUAAGAUCUCCAGUUUGUGGUGAAAAUAAUUAUUAUUUCACAGGCCCAUGGAAAAGCACCUGCCUGGGUAGCAGGAGACUUGCAAAUCACAGAUACAAAAAUGGAUGUGACAGCUUCUGUGCAGAAUAUCCACUGGUGAAGUUAAGCUGCCCCAUCUUCCCUUUUUCCUUGUAUAACUUUGUAUUAUCUUGAUUUUUAGUGACACAUGGAAGGUAAAAUGGUCUAAAUCUUAAUGAUUCAUGGGAUGGGGACUGUUUGUCAGUUUCAAUAAAUCUGUUAGCCUCUUUGACAGUGAGGAGGAAAGAGCUGUUUUGAAUUCAUGGUAUGUUUUUAAAUUUCCUUUCAAAGACUACUGUUUUUUUCUCUCCUCUCAUGUUUCUCAGAAGAAACCAGCCUGCCAAACUGCUCCAGGAAGCUCUUCUGAGAUAGAGACAACCAUCUCUGUGUACGGUCUGUACUUGUGAAGCAGAGCACAAUGCCCUUUUUCCAUUUAAUCCAUAUUAAUUAUCCCUCUGCAGCUCCUUGCUAGUUUCCACUCAUCCCAGGCACCAGAAACUUGUGUGGCUGCAUCUCGAACAAACCAGAGCCUUUCACUAACCACCUGAGAUCACUUAGCUGCAGAUAACCGGGCAGAUGCCUGAGAAAAGGAGCAAUUACAGAUCCUUUUCAUUCAGUCCUGGCUGAGCAAAUGAGCAAAUGAAAGGGGCAUCUUGCAGAAAUGCAGUCAGCAGAAAGCAAUGUAAUGAACCAGCUUGUUUUGCAAACCAUGAAGUGCUAUCAUCCCUAGGAAUAAUUCUGAAUAAACUCUCUGAUACCCUCAA